GGGCCGUUAGCCAAGUCAGGUAAGGCGUCGGGCUUUUAACCCGAAGAUUCGUGGGUUCGAACCCCACACGGCUCGCCA
rnacentral:tRNA from 1 species